AAGCGAAAUGAUGUCUACCAUCUUUCGGGACUGAAAACUGAUGACCUGUUAAUAAACUGAUCGCUC